rnacentral:rRNA from 1 species
CCUACGGGUGGCAGCAGUGAGGAAUAUUGGUCAAUGGACGAGAGUCUGAACCAGCCAAGUAGCGUGAAGGAUGACUGCCCUAUGGGUUGUAAACUUCUUUUAUCAAGGAAUAAAACGAGGCACGUGUGCCUUUUUGCAUGUACUUUAUGAAUAAGGAUCGGCUAACCCCGUGACAGCAGCCGCGGGAAUACGGAGGAUCCGAACGUUUUCCGGAUUUUUUGGGGUUAAAGGGAGGGUAGAUGGGUGGUUAAUUUAGUAGUGAAAGUUUGCGGCUGAACCGUAAAAUUGCAAUUGAUACUGGCAGUCUGGAGUACAGUUGAGGUAGGCGGAAUGCGUGGUGUAGCGGUGAAAUGCUUAGAUAUCACGCAGAACCCCGAUUGCGAAGGCAGCUUACUAAACUGUAACUGACAUUGAUGCUCGAAAGUGUGGGUAUCGAACAGGAUUAGAUACCCUAGUAGUC